UACAGGGGGGGCAAGCGUUGUCCGGAAUUACUGGGCGUACCGCGCGCGCAGGCGGUCCACUACGUGCCGUGUGACAUCCGUCGGCUUAACCGACGGAGGCCAGGGUACACGGGUGAACUUGAGGCAGAGAGAGGGAUGUGGAAUACCCGGUGGAGCGGUGAAAUGCGUAGAGAUCGGGUGGAACACCAGGGGCGAAGGCGGCAUCCUGGCUCUGUACUGACGCUGAGGCGCGAGAGCGUGGGGAGCAAACCGG
rnacentral:rRNA from 1 species